AGAGUUUGAUCAUGGCUCAGGACGAACGCUGGCGGCGCGCCUAACACAAUGCAAGUCGAACGAGAGGAGAGGGAGCUUGCUUCCUCGAUCGAGUGGCGAACGGGUGAGUAACGCGUGAGGAACCUGCCUCAAANAGGGGGACAACAGUUGGAAACGACUGCUAAUACCGCAUAAGCCCACGGCUCGGCAUCGAGCAGAGGGAAAAGGAGCAAUCCGCUUUGAGAUGGCCUCGGCGUCCGAUUAGCUAGUUGGUGAGGUAACGGCCCACCAAGGCGACGAUCGGUAGCCGGACUGGAGAGGUUGAACGGCCACCAUUGGGACUGAGACACGGCCCAGACUCCUACGGGAGGCAGCA
rnacentral:rRNA from 1 species